GUCUGGAAGUGGAAUUUAUGAGUCUUUAUGUAACCAAAAUGACAACAUCCGUGUGCAAGAGGGAGGAGGUACCAGCAGGCUUGGGGAAACUGCUAGGUUUACAGAAGUUACAAAAAACCCACAAAACCUUAGGCGGGUGGGGAGCUGAUAUUGAAAUCCAAGCAGGUGGGAAACAGUGGAUGGAAUCCUGAUCUGGACACACUUCAUAUUCCAACAGACAUCUCACUAAUCAUGGAUAUGUCCAAUUCAUGGGAUUCCCCACCCUUUCUUAAAGGCGGUAUAUUAGGCCACCCAGUGUCAGGGACCUUCUCCUGAACCUUCCAGAAAAGAGGAAGGCAGUAGAAAUCAGGGGUCAGCAAACAUUUUAGCCGUGGGCCAGUCCACCAUCCCUCAGACCAUGUGGGGGGCCGGACUAUAUUUUGAAGAAGAAGAAAAAUGAACAAAUCCCUAUGCCCCACAAAUAACCCAGAGAUGCAUUUUAAAUAAAAGCACACAUUCUACUCAUGUAAAAACACACUGAUUCCCAGACCAUCCUCGGGACGGAUUGAGAAGAUGAUUGGGCCGCAUCCGGUCCCCGGGCUUUAAGUUGCCUACCCCUGGUAUAGAUUUACAACAGUGGUUUGAGGGAGGUCAAAGCCUAGAGAUAGAUGAAGAGAAGAGCUGGGAAAUAAUGGGAGAAGAGGAGGGAGAGACAGAGCAGCCGGCUGACACGUCAUCACUAGAAGGCAUUCCAGACCCCGCUUCCACCAGACCCUAGUGAGCAUUGAAAGUAGGAGAGCAAAGGGCUCAGAGACAAGUGGCCCUAAGCAGCCACUUUAAAGGGGGCUGCUGCUGAUGAUGAUGAAUGAGGAGACAAGGGGAGGGGUGGAAAUUACUCAUAGCAAUGGCACCAAAGCAAGAGACUGCUUUUCUAAGCCUCUCUCUGUGAAUAUUUAAUAAAAGACUUUGGUAAGAACUGUUUUUCUGUUCCUGGCAGCCCACCGUGGGAGAGAGGAUCAGAUUCACUAAUGCCUGAGACCCAGGUCUCUGCAUGUUUAGGUGCUUGUGGCAUUCGUAUGGAGCCCCCGGUCAUUUCACAAACUAUUGACCCGUACACCACUAAUCCGCUGCCACCAACCAGGUUCUCCCUGGUAUAUCACUUAGUCGCAGUCAGGUCCUCAAGUUAACAACGAAAAUUGUAGUUUAUUGCAAGCACAAAUAAACUUUAAAUGCAUUCGAUACGCUGUUACCCUUUACCCUCUUUGUCUUAUUUUAUCCUGUCUCUAACUCUUCUACCUCCCCUCACACAAGAACCAACUGCACUAACUGUCUCUCUAUUUCCAUCUGUCUUCCAACUGCUUUCCUAACUGCUUUUUCCCCAACUGCUUUUCCCCAACUGUUGGAAAGGCAGUUUGGCCCUGACGCUAUAGCAGCAUCAGAAACACCCUUGCUGCUACAAGAUUUAAUUUCUGCAACAAAAACAAAGAACUCUACACUUGCACUAUAUAAAACCCUACUCAACAGAAAGAAGUAUGAUUUAGAAUAUUAUAGACAAAAAUGGAGUGAAGAGUUAGGGGUACAGAUAACAAAUGAUAUAUGAGAGUCAAGUAUAAAAUCAACAGAAAUAGCUUCUAUGGAUCUAAGACUAAGUUUUAUUCAGCAGAAAAUAAUAUUUAGAGUCCAUUGGACUCCAGCAAAACUUUACCAGAAGAAAAUAACAAAUGCAGACAACUGCUGGAGAUGUGGAAGUAAAAAUGAAAACUUAGUACAUUUGAUGAUUAACUGCCCGAUGAUAAGAUCAUUUUGGUGCGAGGUGAGGAUAUAUAUAGCAAGAGUAAUAAAAAGAAAUUGUUAUUUAGGGGAUUUGAAUCUAAUUCUAAAUUAUAUACUGGAAACGUGGGAGAUUACAAGGGAUCAAAAAAAAUGGAUGUACCGUGCCAUAUUAGAAGCAAAAAAAAAUUGUUUUGAUGAAUUGGAAGAGCCCAUUGAGCACAUGGAUUGACAAUAUGGACAGACUAGUUACAUACGAAUGAAUUGCAUAUCGACGCAAAUUAAGAAUGGAUAAAUAUGAAGAAAUCUGGAAGGAAUACUUAAGCGAUAAGGCGGAAAGUGGUGGGAAGCAGGGGGAGGAGAGGUGGGGAAAUAUUGUUAAAAAGGUGUAGUUAUAGGUAUAUAACUCUGGUUUUUCUAUUGGUCUACCUAUUAACCCUUUCUCUCCCCCUGUACAGACAUUUCCAAAAGAAUGGGCAAACGCCACAUCGCUCAUGUGAAGGGUUCAGUUAAGGCUUGAAGCUAUUUUCGGUGAUUUAGGGGAUGGGCUUGCACCAUUGCAGUGUAGCGGAGUGUAUAAACCAGGGCAUAAACUACGUAGGGCCAAGGAUAAUUAUAAGUGUAAGCUAUUAUGUAAAUUAAAGAAUCCAUAUCUUUUUCUCCUACCUACAGGCUUAAGUGGGAAGAAAUUUCUAGAAUAAAAAGUAAACAUUUCAAGAGACACCAGAGCUGUCUAUUGAAGUGCGUUUUUUCCCUUUUCUUUUAAAGGAAGACUAACCAGAUAUCUGUGAGGUCAUAUCAGUUUAUGGUUAUAUGAAAGAUGUAAACAUCAAACAAAGCCAGGGAACUGUUUAGCCUGGUUCAAAGAGGUAUAAUUAGAAAUAAUGGGGCGAAACUGAACAAAGGAAGAUUAAGGUUGACUCUCCAGGCAACAGUUCUAACAGUGAGAUCUAAUAGACUGUGAAAUUCUUUCUCGAAGAGGUGGUGGAGAUCUCCUGAAAGAUUUAAACAUCCACUGGACAAAGUACUUCAGAAUGUAACACUAAGGGAGCAGAAGAGAAGGCCUGUUUUUUAUCUUGGAUGUUUAAAACCGUUUUCCGGAUAGCUUCAGUUGCUGCAUCUGCCACUUAGGAUCACAUGGGUAAUAUUUAUAUUAGAAGAGUUAUUGUGUUUUGAGGAGAUACUUUGUGGCAUGGCAGCUGUUUCUAUGGGAAAGUGAACACUGGAAGCAUAUUUGAGCAAUAGUUUAAAUGUCUGCAAGCAGGGUGGUGAUUCAGCCCUGUGAAAAUCACCCCCCCAAACCAGUGGUUCCUGUAAGAGUAUUCAGGCGGAGCUCAGAAUCGCUGUUGUACUUUCUGUGGGGAUGAUUAGGGAG